CUGAUGGUGCUGGGGAUGUAGUCCUCUUCGGCGUGGACCGUGCCAUCUCCCCCUCCUUCAAUGGAGGGGGCGGGGGGAUGCGAAGAUCUGAUUUUUUUUAAAGGGGAGAAAAUAAAUGGACGAGGCCGUUGGGACGUCACUACCUGCGCCGCUCGUGGUUGCGCUGAUCUGGGAUGCCAGCCGAGGAACCACCGGAUCCUCAACUGCAAAAAGGAUCGUGUUAGAAGUUGGAAUGACAGAUGCCUCAAACAUGGUUCAUAAAGGGCCAACGUACAUGAGUGUGUUUGUGUAUUCAGGCCUGAGGGGUUGUCUGUUAUCUUUGGUUAUCUAGCUGUAUGAGUGACGUACAUUCUUCAUAAAGCUAGAUAACCGAAAGUAACAAGAAUCCCAUUACAUGCCUGCAUCUCUGAAGGAAAAUCAACAUGGGCACAUGUGCUAUGACAUGAGGAAAACAAGGGUGUUUGGACACUUAUUCCUGGACUAUGAAAGCUGUCACAAGUGAGAAAACAACAAAUGGACAAACAGUCAUCAGUCUGACUGGAUGGACAAUGUGAAACACUUUCGUAAUAUAUGCAUUAUGACACACUCGCAUUGUCAAAUCAUUGUCUUCUUAGUUAAAACUCCUUAGCGCGUAGGUUGAUUUGUAGACUUAAGUGGCAAAUGUCUUAUUUUACUAGAUUUACUUCAGAUUUACUUCAGUGUACAACAAUGGUGAUUUUAUCAUUUGAUUUUAACAAGCAAAUGUUUGACAAUCUAUGUGACUAAAAUACAAUCUGGUGUAUAGUACAGUACAUGUUCUGUAUUUGUUUUUGUGCACCUGGAGUGCUUAAAAUCACUGUGCAAUGUUCAUCUAUGCAAAAUGUAGUUUUGCCCUUUGGGUGCUUUGCACAAAUGUUUGUUGGGUUUGCACAUGAAGUGUUGUUUCAUGUUCCGAAACUUAAUUUCGUCUAGAGAACGAGCACGUGUGCAAUUACUGUAAAGAUUUUCUGAGUUUAUUUGAUUUCGAUAAUAUUUUCAUAUUCUUGUGUUGUACUGUACUGUAUGUGAUGAUAUUCAUUUGUGAGAUUUUCUAAAAUGCACUGUGACAUAAUGUUGCACAUGUCCUGAGCUCUAUUUGCACAUAACUUUGUACUAUGCAAUUUUUUUGUUACUAUUGUUGAGACACUUAAUAAAAAAAUG